rnacentral:lncRNA from 1 species
AAUCCUCUCACUCAGCACUGCUUAGGAGAGGGGCAACUCCCUGAAGGAAAGGCAGGUGAAGAGGAGCAACAGAGAUAGCCCAGCCAGAGCCCCUCCUCCCUGAAGACAGUGUGUGCCCCUGGGAUCCCCUCAAGGGAGGUUUCUUCUGGGCCUCUCUCAGCCUGAUGGAUUGCCAGCACCUGGAGGAGAGGUGUAUAUCAAGUGAGAGGACUGCCUGUGUGCUCCUUGUGAGAGGCAGAUGGGAGGACUCCUGUCAGCCAGCUGAAGGCACGUGCAGUGGGCCGUAAUGGGAAGAUGGCUGCCUGGAGGCAGGAGGACCGAGAAAGACCAACUCUGACCCCCGAUCCCCGAAGAAAGGCUCUGUCUCAGAAAAACCCGGCCUUCACGGAGCACACAGCGGAACACAGACGCGCAUGCCAGGGCCCACGGUACGAACAAAGGCUGAGACAGAGCGUGGGUGCUGUUGAGGGCGCGGACUGUUUCUAGCGGUCAGGAAGCAUGGCAUCCCCCAUGGAGAGUCAGAGGAGGCUCGCGGCUGAGGGGACAAGCUUGGCUUUCAGGCCAAGGAGGCUGCACGGUGAGGGGACACUCGGAGCAGCCAAGGGCCUGCUCCAGGCAGAUUUCCACAUCUGGCUCUGGAGAACGGUCUCCACUCCUCCACGGGGCUCCUGUACCAUUGGUGCUGUUAUUUACUUAAUAUUUAUUUUCAAAGCAUCUUUCUCAUUUUACUUAAAUAAAUUCAGCUUAAGAG